GGGAAUGUUUUGGUUUCGACAGGAUAAAAAGCUUAUUACUAGCAAGUAGACGGGAGUCUUUAAAUCCAACUUUAAAUUAAUCGGAAACGAUAAUUACGCUUUAGCUGCCUAGUUACGCGGCUCGUCUCCAUUUGAAUUUGCCAUUGUUGAUUUGGAAGACGUCAUUUUAAAUGGCUUACUCUAGUGUAUGAUUAUGUCAUUUGAGGACAACUUAUAAUCUCGCUUUUAGACUUUUGUUCAUUUAAUAUCUAAAAGUUAAAGCGUUAAAUGAACUAAACUUGUAGAAGGUAGUAAGGACUUUCUAUUUUGGACACGGGUUCGAUUCCCGUCAUUUCCACCA
rnacentral:tmRNA from 1 species